GAUGAAUGCUGGCGGUGUGCCUAAUACAUGCGAGUCGAGCGAACAGACGAGGAGCUUACUCCUCUGACGUUAGCGGCGGACGGGUGAGUAACACGUGGAUAACCUACCUAUAAGACUGGGAUAACUUCGGGAAACCGGAGCUAAUACCGGAUAACAUGUUGAACCGCAUGGUUCAACAGUGAAAGACGGUCUUGCUGUCACUUAUAGAUGGAUCCGCGUCGCAUUAGCUAGUUGGUAAGGUAACGGCUUACCAAGGCAACGAUGCGUAGCCGACCUGAGAGGGUGAUCGGCCACACUGGAACUGAGACACGGUCCAGACUCCUACGGGAGGCAGCAGUAGGGAAUCUUCCGCAAUGGGCGAAAGCCUGACGGAGCAACGCCGCGUGAGUGAAGAAGGUCUUCGGAUCGUAAAACUCUGUUAUUAGGGAAGAACAAAUGUGUAAGUAACUAUGCACGUCUUGACGGUACCUAAUCAGAAAGCCACGGCUAACUACGUG
rnacentral:rRNA from 1 species